GGUAAACGCUGGCGGCGUGCCUUAUGCAUGCAAGUCGAACGGUCUCGAUUUAUCGAGAUAGUGGCAGACGGGUGAGUAACGCGUAAGUAACCUACCCCUAAGUAGGGGAUAACUCCGAGAAAUUGGAGCUAAUACUGUAGUGGUGAUGGGGGUAAGGCUCCAUCACUAAAGCCUUAGGGCGCUUAGGGAGGGGCUUGCGUCCGAUUAGCUAGUUGGCAGGGUAAUGGUCUACCAAGGCGAUGAUCGGUAGCUGGUUUGAGAGGACGGUCAGCCACACUGGGACUGAGACACGGCCCAGACUCCUACGGGAGGCAGCAGCAAGGAAUUUUGUGCGAUGGGCGAAAGCCUGACACAGCGACGCCGCGUGGGGGAUGAAGGCCUUCGGGUUGUAAACCCCUUUUCCCAGGGAAGAAUAAUGACGGUACCUGGGGAAUAAGCCUCGGCUAACUACGUGCCAGCAGCCGCGGUAAUACGUAGGAGGCAAGCGUUAUCCGGAUUUACUGGGCGUAAAGCGGGCGCAGGCGGCCUUUCAAGUCGGAUGUAAAAUCUCCCGGCUUAACUGGGAGGGAUCAUUCGAUACUGUUGGGCUAGAGGACAGCAGGGGGAGGUGGAAUUCCCGGUGGAGUGGUGAAAUGCGUAGAUAUCGGGAGGAACACCAGCGGCGAAGGCGGCCUCCUGGGCUGUUUCUGACGCUGAGGCCCGAAAGCGUGGGGAGCGAACAGGAUUAGAUACCCUGGUAGUCCACGCUGUAAACUAUGGACACUAGGUAUGGGGAGUAUCGACCCUCUCCGUGCCGAAGCUAACGCUCUAAGUGUCCCGCCUGGGGACACGACCGCAAGGUU
rnacentral:rRNA from 1 species